UUUAGAUUUGAUGAUGUGCUAAGAGUUUCCAAAUACUUACAUGGGGAAAACACUAUCGUUCAAAUGAGGGUAUAAAAAUGUCAUUGAUGAAGCUAUUCGCCUGAACUCUGUUGGUGAGGAGUUACAUUUGGCUAUUGAGACCAUUGGCCAUGGAGCACUUAAGGAGAAUCAUUGGCUUAAUGCUGGUGCAUAUCUCAAGGUCAACCUAGCGGUAUUAACAUUUUGACCGAUUUGGUAGAUGAAUUGUAGGAAUCGAGUGUUGUUGUUGAGCUUAGAUUACCAAUAGAUCAAAAUCAUUCGGAUCUUAAAGGAGGGUAUGCCAAUUUAGUAUUUUAUAAGUUGCAUAAUAAUUACUACAUAUACCUUAAGAAAUUUUACAAUAUUUAAGUAGUUUGUUUAUAGAUCUUUUUGUGAAUAUGGUGAAGCAGUGUUGAAACAUUUGGAAAAUAAAAGUGAAUCGGAUCCUACACUUCAAAAAACUCGUGUUAACUAUGAAGGGAUUCGGGUUUCCGGCUAUGGUGGUUGGUUUCUUCUGAGACUUUCGCUUCGUAACCCUGUUUUGCCCCUUAACAUUGGGGUAAAUUACAAGUCAUGAAAUCAGUUAUCCACAAUACUAAAAAAUCUAAAUAAACAUAUUAAAUUUUUUAGGCCCCAAGUAACGAGGAUGCGUUAAAACUUGGAUUAACAGGGAUUUCGGUUGCAAAUGAGUUCUCGGCUUUGGAUGUUUCGGCAUUGGUGAAAUUUGUACAACAAUAUUGAAGG